GACGAACGCUGGCGGCGUGCUUAACACAUGCAAGUCGAACGGAAAGGCCCUGCUUUUGUUGGGUUCUCGUGUGGCGAACGGGUGAGUAACACGUGAGUAACCUGCCCUUGACUUUGUGAUAACUUCAGGAAACUGGGGCUAAUACCGGAUAGGAUCUCCUGCUGCAUGGUGGGGGUUGGUAAGUUUCGGCGGUGGGGGAUGGAUUCGCGGCUUAUCAGCUUCUUUGUGGGGUAGUGGCGUACCAAGCGUUUGACGGGUAGCCGGCCUGAGAGGGUGACCGGCCACCUUGGGACUGAGAUACGGACCAGUAUGCUACGGGAGGCAGCAGUGGGGAACAUUGCAGAGUGGGCGGGCGUCUGAGACGGAAGCGUCGCGUGCGGAAUGACGGGCUUCGGGUUGUAAACAGAUUUCGACUGUACCGAAGAGUGCGUGACGGUAAUGGGUAAAGAAGCAACGGCUAACUACGUG
rnacentral:rRNA from 1 species